rnacentral:rRNA from 1 species
UACAGAGGGUGCAAGCGUUAAUCGGAAUUACUGGGCGUAAAGCGUGCGUAGACGGUUACAUAAGUCGGGUGUGAAAGCCCCGGGCUCAACCUGGGAAUUGCAUUCGAGACUGCGUAGCUAGGGUGCGGAAGAGGGAAGCGGAAUUUCCGGUGUAGCGGUGAAAUGCGUAGAUAUCGGGAGGAACACCUGAGGCGAAGGCGGGCUACUGGGCCGAUACUGACGCUGAGGCGCGAAAGCCAGGGGAGCAAACGGG